rnacentral:misc_RNA from 1 species
GAUGAAGAACGUAGCGAAAUGCGAUAAGUAAUGCGAAUUGCAGAAUUCAGUGAGUCAUCGAAUCUUUGAACGCACAUUGCGCCCUGUGGUAUUCCGCAGGGCAUGCCUGUUCGAGCGUCAUUUCAACCCUCAAGCUCUGCUUGGUGUUGGGCCCUGCCCGCUGCGGCCGGCCCUAAAGACAGUGGCGGUGCCGCCUGGCCCCGAGCGUAGUACAUCUCUCGCUCCAGUGCCCGGUGGUAGCCUGCCAGAACCCCAACUCUCGUGGUUGACCUCGGAUCAGGUAGGGAUACCCGCUGAACUUAAGCAUAUCAAUAAGCGGAGGA